AUUGAACGCUAGCGGGAUGCUUUACACAUGCCAGUCGAACGGCAGCGCGGACUUCGGUCUGGCGGCGAGUGGCGCACGGGUGAGUAAUGUAUCGGAACGUGCCCAGUAGCGGGGGAUAACUACGCGAAAGCGUAGCUAAUACCGCAUACGCCCUACGGGGGCAAGCAGGGGAUCGUAAGACCUUGCACUAUUGGAGCGGCCGAUAUCGGAUUAGCUAGUUGGUGAGGUAACGGCUCACCAAGGCGACGAUCCGUAGCUGGUUUGAGAGGACGACCAGCCACACUGGGACUGAGACACGGCCCAGACUCCUACGGGAGGCAGCAGUGGGGAAUUUUGGACAAUGGGGGCAACCCUGAUCCAGCCAGCCCGCGUGUGCGAUGAAGGCCUUCGGGUUGUAAAGCACUUUUGGCAGGAAAGAAACGUCGCGGGCUAAUACCCCGUGGAACUGACGGUACCUGCAGAAUAAGCACCGGCUAACUACGUG
rnacentral:rRNA from 1 species